rnacentral:SRP_RNA from 1 species
GUUGGGCGUGGUGGCUCAUGCCUGUAAUCCCAGCGCUUUGGGAGUCUGAGACAGGAGGAUUGCUUGAGCCCAGGAGUUCAAGGCUGCAGUGAGCUGUGAUUGUGCCACUACACUCCAGCCUGGGCCACAGAGCAAGACCCUGUCUUUA